rnacentral:rRNA from 1 species
GACGAACGCUGGCGGCGUGCUUAACACAUGCAAGUCGAACGGAAAGGCCUCUUUCGGGGGGUACUCGAGUGGCGAACGGGUGAGUAGCACGUGAGUAACCUGCCCUUGACUUUGGGAUAACUUCAGGAAACUGGGGCUAAUACCGGAUAGGAGCUCCUGCUGCAUGGUGGGGGUUGGAAAGUUUCGGCGGUUGGGGAUGGACUCGCGGCUUAUCAGCUUGUUGGUGGGGUAGUGGCUUACCAAGGCUUUGACGGGUAGCCGGCCUGAGAGGGUGACCGGCCACAUUGGGACUGAGAUACGGCCCAGACUCCUACGGGAGGCAGCAGUGGGGAAUAUUGCACAAUGGGUGGAAGCCGGAUGCAGCAACGCCGUGUGCGGGAGGACGGCCUUCGGGUUGGAAACCGCUUUCGCUCAUGACGAAGCUUUGUGUGACGGUAGUGGGUAAAGAAGCACCGGCUAACUACGUG